UAAGAAAAUAUUGUUUGGUCAUACUUGGUAGAAUUUUCCUUGUUUGAAAUAGAUCUAUAAUUGCAUUAAUUGUGUCAAGAUUAUAAUUAUCAUUAGCGUAGCGUUGGUGGUUCGCUAUUUUCAUAUAUCUAGUGGAAUGAGAAAGAAUAUUAAGAAGAAUAAUUGCGUCACUGUUCCAUUACGUACGUGUCUGUAGCAGUACGAACUGUACUAAACAAUGGUUUGCAGUAAAAAAAUACGUAGGCGAUGACAAUAAAAUAGGGCUGAAAUUUGUUUUGUUAAAAAAUUAAAUACAAAAUUUCUGUUCCAUGCAGCUUUAUUAUGGAAAAAGGGAAAUCGAAUUACAUGAUUGUGAAGUGGUUCUUUUUAUUUAAAAUCGUUUGUUGAGUAAUUGGUAUGCAUAUUCAGUCCACACAAUACAUAAAUUCCAACUCAAACCCUGGUGGAGAAUUUUCGUUGGAUGAAAUUCAUAAUCAUGAAGAAAAUGAACUCAAGGAUUGUGAUAUUCAGGAAUAUGACUCAUUAGAAACCAGAUCCAGAGCGUAUACCUCAACUUGUAAAAAUAUAUGUGACUGCGAAACACCACUUGAUACCGUAAAUUCGUGGGAUUCCCAUUCCCAUUAUCGACAACUUAUUCGUUUUUCUAGUAACUCUCUCUACUCAGGCAUAACCAUAUAUUGCAAUCACGCACAUCUUAUUACUUCCAUUGGAAUUAUAAGGUUACUCUUAAUUAUAUCAACAGCAGCCUGCAUUACGUGCCUGUGUAGUUCAGGGAUUGUUAAAGCAGGACUUGUAGUGCUUCCACUUGUGAAUAGAAUUAAAUUUAUGAUAUUCGUACAUUUAUUGGGUUUCUUUGUAACUGGGAUUUUACUGUUCCUUGAGAUCACUCAUCUAAUUCAUUUAUUUCCAUUUAAUUGGAUUAAAUUGAAUACGUACUUUUUUGUAUGUCUCAGCAUCCUGUUCUUAACUUCUUCGACACUGAUAUUUUAUACGAUGUUUACAUUCGAAGCAUUUUAUAGGAUUUCCAGUUGGACUAAACACCAUUUAUUAGCUGCUAGUAUAAUAGGGUAUAUCUGCACAGUGGAAUCAGUGUUUCUCAUCAUUUUCCACUAUUGUUCGCGAAAUCCAUAUGGGCCUGUCCGCGAAGUAUGUGAUGAACAUCAAGAGAAGACUAUUUCUGUGCGUCAAUUACAUCAAAAAAGUAAUGACUGUAAAACGUCUAAAGUUUACCACUCCGUUUUUAAUAAGACAUCCACAUCAAUUUUAAAAUUAAAUCAAAUUGAUGAUGGUACAAAACAAACAAAUGUGAAAGAGCAAGCACUGAAUUAAAAAUGAUUCAAGAAAAUCAGAUUUACUUAUUGAUUUUGCAAAAUACAUUUAUUAUUGAUUAAACGCUACUUCUAAAGAUGAUUUUUUUAGUAAUCCAUUAAACCAAAUAAUUAAGUAGAAAUAUACGUACCUAUUACUAUUUAAAAUAUUAGCUAGUCAAGAGUUUACCUGAUGAAACUUGAUAUAGCAAAACCACAAGAACGAACAAUUUUCAAUAAGUUCAAUGAAAUAGUGUAAAUGCUGGGUUGUCAUACAGGUGCCGGAUUGUUCUUGCCCCAGUGUUACAGAACCAGUUGUAAAUACUGCUGCGCAUUUGGUUACAUUAAUUCAUGCAUCCAAAUAUAAUAAUACAACCCUCUUCUGUGAAGUAAGUUGUAGGAAGUUAGCCGACUGUAUGGAUGUUCGCCUUGUACGCCACUGGCCAACAACACCGAGAAUACAAAGACUCGGCCCUCUAGCCUGAACUAACCACAUACUGUAUCAUGAGUUGUGCGUUAUUUUAGCAUUAAAAAAGAGGGUCAGUCAGCAAACAACUGCAAAUAGAUUUUACUGCGGUAAUAUAAGUACACCAAAAUGUAUCAAGCACGCAUGACAACCUAUUGUCUCAAGAAUGGAGGCUAAAAUCAUGUUUUCAGAUAUAAAAGCUAAAACAGAAUUAUUUUCAGAACUAUCUUACGUCUCAUUUGACAUAUUUGAUACUAAUAAAUAAAUUUGAA